UCAGCUGGGAGAGCGCCUGCUUUGCACGCAGGAGGUCUGCGGUUCGAUCCCGCAUAGCUCCACCAUCUUUACUGCGAACACAAGAAAACUUCAGAGUGAACCUGAAAAGGUGCACUGCGAAGUUUUGCUCUUUAAAAAUCUGGAUCAAGCUGAAAAUUGAAACGACACACNCGAGCGAACGGGGAGCAGCCCAGAGUCUGAAUCAGCUUGUGUGUUAGUGGAACGGUCUGGAAAGUCCGACGGUACAGGGUGAUAGUCCCGUACACCAAAAUGCACAGGUUGUGAACUCGAAGAGUAGGGCGGGACACGUGGUAUCCUGUCUGAAUAUGGGGGGACCAUCCUCCAAGGCUAAAUACUCCUGACUGACCGAUAGUGAACCAGUACCGUGAGGGAAAGGCGAAAAGAACCCCGGCGAGGGGAGUGAAAAAGAACCUGAAACCGUGUACGUACAAGCAGUGGGAGCACCUUCGGGUGUGACUGCGUACCUUUUGUAUAAUGGGUCAGCGACUUAUAUUCUGUAGCAAGGUUAACCGUAUAGGGGAGCCGCAGGGAAACCGAGUCUUAACUGGGCGUUAAGUUGCAGGGUAUAGACCCGAAACCCGGUGAUCUAGCCAUGGGCAGGUUGAAGGUUGGGUAACACUAACUGGAGGACCGAACCGACUAAUGUUGAAAAAUUAGCGGAUGACUUGUGGCUGGGGGUGAAAGGCCAAUCAAACCGGGAGAUAGCUGGUUCUCCCCGAAAGCUAUUUAGGUAGCGCCUCGUGAACUCAUCUUCGGGGGUAGAGCACUGUUUCGGCUAGGGGGUCAUCCCGACUUACCAACCCGAUGCAAACUACGAAUACCGAAGAAUGUUAUCACGGGAGACACACGGCGGGUGCUAACGUCCGUCGUGAAGAGGGAAACAACCCAGACCGCCAGCUAAGGUCCCAAAGUCAUGGUUAAGUGGGAAACGAUGUGGGAAGGCACAGACAGCCAGGAUGUUGGCUUAGAAGCAGCCAUCAUUUAAAGAAAGCGUAAUAGCUCACUGGUCGAGUCGGCCUGCGCGGAAGAUGUAACGGGGCUAAACCAUGCACCGAAGCUGCGGCAGCGACACUAUGUGUUGUUGGGUAGGGGAGCGUUCUGUAAGCCUGCGAAGGUGUGCUGUGAGGCAUGCUGGAGGUAUCAGAAGUGCGAAUGCUGACAUAAGUAACGAUAAAGCGGGUGAAAAGCCCGCUCGCCGGAAGACCAAGGGUUCCUGUCCAACGUUAAUCGGGGCAGGGUGAGUCGACCCCUAAGGCGAGGCCGAAAGGCGUAGUCGAUGGGAAACAGGUUAAUAUUCCUGUACUUGGUGUUACUGCGAAGGGGGGACGGAGAAGGCUAUGUUAGCCGGGCGACGGUUGUCCCGGUUUAAGCAUGUAGGCUGAUUGUCCAGGCAAAUCCGGAUAAUCAAGGCUGAGGUGUGAUGACGAGGCACUACGGUGCUGAAGUAACAAAUGCCCUGCUUCCAGGAAAAGCCUCUAAGCAUCAGGUAACAUUAAAUCGUACCCCAAACCGACACAGGUGGUCAGGUAGAGAAUACCAAGGCGCUUGAGAGAACUCGGGUGAAGGAACUAGGCAAAAUGGUGCCGUAACUUCGGGAGAAGGCACGCUGGUGUGUAGGUGAAGUCCCUGCGGAUGGAGCUGAGACCAGUCGAAGAUACCAGCUGGCUGCAACUGUUUAUUAAAAACACAGCACUGUGCAAACACGAAAGUGGACGUAUACGGUGUGACGCCUGCCCGGUGCCGGAAGGUUAAUUGAUGGGGUUAUCCGUAAGGAGAAGCUCUUGAUCGAAGCCCCGGUAAACGGCGGCCGUAACUAUAACGGUCCUAAGGUAGCGAAAUUCCUUGUCGGGUAAGUUCCGACCUGCACGAAUGGCGUAAUGAUGGCCAGGCUGUCUCCACCCGAGACUCAGUGAAAUUGAACUCGCUGUGAAGAUGCAGUGUACCCGCGGCAAGACGGAAAGACCCCGUGAACCUUUACUAUAGCUUGACACUGAACAUUGAGCCUUGAUGUGUAGGAUAGGUGGGAGGCUUUGAAGCGUGGACGCCAGUCUGCGUGGAGCCAACCUUGAAAUACCACCCUUUAAUGUUUGAUGUUCUAACGUUGGCCCCUGACCGGGGUUGCGGACAGUGUCUGGUGGGUAGUUUGACUGGGGCGGUCUCCUCCCAAAGCGUAACGGAGGAGCACGAAGGUUAGCUAAUCCUGGUCGGACAUCAGGAGGUUAGUGCAAUGGCAUAAGCUAGCUUGACUGCGAGCGUGACGGCGCGAGCAGGUGCGAAAGCAGGUCAUAGUGAUCCGGUGGUUCUGAAUGGAAGGGCCAUCGCUCAACGGAUAAAAGGUACUCCGGGGAUAACAGGCUGAUACCGCCCAAGAGUUCAUAUCGACGGCGGUGUUUGGCACCUCGAUGUCGGCUCAUCACAUCCUGGGGCUGAAGUAGGUCCCAAGGGUAUGGCUGUUCGCCAUUUAAAGUGGUACGCGAGCUGGGUUUAGAACGUCGUGAGACAGUUCGGUCCCUAUCUGCCGUGGGCGCUGGAGAAUUGAGGGGGGCUGCUCCUAGUACGAGAGGACCGGAGUGGACGCAUCACUGGUGUUCGGGUUGUCAUGCCAAUGGCACUGCCCGGUAGCUAAAUGCGGAAGAGAUAAGUGCUGAAAGCAUCUAAGCACGAAACUUGCCCCGAGAUGAGUUCUCCCUGAGACUUUAAGUCUCCUGAAGGAACGUUAAAGACGAUGACGUUGAUAGGCCGGGUGUGUAAGCGCAGCGAUGCGUUGAGCUAACCGGUACUAAUGAACCGUGAGGCUUAACCUU
rnacentral:rRNA from 1 species